rnacentral:rRNA from 1 species
UACGUAGGGGGCAAGCGUUGUCCGGAUUUAUUGGGCGGAAAGAGCGUGUAGGCGGUUUGGUAGGUCCGUUGUGAAAACUCGAGGCUCAACCUCGAGACGCCGAUGGAAACCAUCUAACUAGAGUCCGGAAGAGGAGAGUGGAAUUCCUGGUGUAGCGGUGAAAUGCGCAGAUAUCAGGAAGAACACCCGUGGCUAAGGCGGCUCUCUAGUACGGUACUGACGCUGAGACGCGAAAGCGUGGGGAGCGAACAGG